rnacentral:rRNA from 1 species
UACGUAGGGGGCUAGCGUUGUCCGGAAUCAUUGGGCGUAAAGCGCGCGUAGGCGGCCAGAUAAGUCCGGUGUGAAAGCCACAGGCUCAACCUGUGAAUGCCGCUGGAAACUGUCUGGCUAGAGUCCGGGAGGGGCGAGUGGAAUUCCUAGUGUAGCGGUGAAAUGCGCAGAUAUCAGGAGGAACACCAAUGGCGAAGGCAGCUCGCUGGAACGGAACUGACGCUGAGGCGCGAAAGCGUGGGGAGCAAACAGG